GGACCAGCAUGCAUAGUGGUUUGAGCACUGGAUUAUGACUCUGGAGAUCAGGGUUCAAAUCCCAGCUUGGCUA
rnacentral:tRNA from 1 species